rnacentral:rRNA from 1 species
UACAGAGGUCUCGAGCGUUGUUCGGAUUCAUUGGGCGUAAAGGGUGCGUAGGUGGCGCUGUAAGUCGGGUGUGAAAUCCUGAGGCUUAACCUCGGAGCUGCAUUCGAUACUGCGGCGCUUGAGGACUGGAGAGGAGACUGGAAUUCAUGGUGUAGCAGUGAAAUGCGUAGAGAUCAUGAGGAAGACCAGUGGCGAAGGCGGGUCUCUGGACAGUUCCUGACACUGAGGCACGAAGGCCAGGGGAGCAAACGGG